rnacentral:rRNA from 1 species
CAGCAGCCACGGUAAUACAGAGGGUGUGAGCGUUAAUCGGAUUUACUGGGCGUAAAGCGUGCGUAGGCGGCUUCUUAAGUCGGAUGUGAAAUCCCUGAGCUUAACUUAGGAAUUGCAUUCGAUACUGGGAAGCUAGAGUAUGGGAGAGGAUGGUAGAAUUCCAGGUGUAGCGGUGAAAUGCGUAGAGAUCUGGAGGAAUACCGAUGGCGAAGGCAGCCAUCUGGCCUAAUACUGACGCUGAGGUACGAAAGCAUGGGGAGCAAACAGGAUUAGAGACCCCAGUAGUCCCUGUCUCUUAUAC